CCUACGGGUGGCAGCAGUGAGGAAUAUUGGUCAAUGGGCGCGAGGCUGAACCAGCCAAGUCGCGUGAAGGAUGACGGCCCUACGGGUUGUAAACUUCUUUUGUCAAGGAAUAAAGUGAGGCACGUGUGCCUCUUUGUAAGUACUUUAUGAAUAAGCAUCGGCUAACUCCGUGCCAGCAGCCGCGGUAAUACGGAGGAUCCGAGCGUUAUCCGGAUUUAUUGGGUUUAAAGGGAGCGUAGAGGGGUUGUUAAGUCAGUUGUGAAAUUUUGCGGCUCAACCGUAAAAUUGCAAUUGAUACUGGCAGUCUUGAGUACAGUAGGGGUAGGCGGAAUUCGUGGUGUAGCGGUGAAAUGCUUAGAUAUCACGAAGAACUCCGAUUGCGAAGGCAGCUUACUAACGUGCCACUGACAUUGAUGCUCGAAAGUGUGGGUAUCAAACAGGAUUAGAUACCCUGGUAGUC
rnacentral:rRNA from 1 species